rnacentral:rRNA from 1 species
AGCGAACGCUGGCGGCAGGCUUAACACAUGCAAGUCGAGCGGGCGUAGCAAUACGUCAGCGGCAGACGGGUGAGUAACGCGUGGGAACGUACCUUUUGGUUCGGAACAACACAGGGAAACUUGUGCUAAUACCGGAUAAGCCCUUACGGGGAAAGAUUUAUCGCCGAAAGAUCGGCCCGCGUCUGAUUAGCUAGUUGGUGGGGUAACGGCUCACCAAGGCGACGAUCAGUAGCUGGUCUGAGAGGAUGAUCAGCCACAUUGGGACUGAGACACGGCCCAAACUCCUACGGGAGGCAGCAGUGGGGAAUAUUGGACAAUGGGGGCAACCCUGAUCCAGCCAUGCCGCGUGAGUGAUGAAGGCCCUAGGGUUGUAAAGCUCUUUUGUGCGGGAAGAUAAUGACGGUACCGCAAGAAUAAGCCCCGGCUAACUUCGUG